CGACCCCAGGUCAGGGGGGACUACCCGCUGAGUUUAA
rnacentral:rRNA from 1 species